rnacentral:lncRNA from 1 species
UAGGGAGUGUCCCCACAGGGCCUGUCUGUAAUGCAGGGGACUCUCCAAGGGGUGAGGGGAGGUGGCCUGGCUGGGGGUCUGCAUGGCCUUCCUGAAGAAGCACCAAUUGAGGGUGCCAUAAAGGCGUCCCCUCCCUCGGUCUCCAGGUCCACGGGUCCCCAGGAGUGGGUCUCCUUAGCGCCUCCCUUGAAUCAAACCACCACCCUGUUCCCAAAGUCCUGGAAACACCACAAGCCCGUCACGAGGUUCCAGGAGGUGCCUAGCACCCACCUGCUCUGAGGCUGACACAGUCGGGUGGGAGGCUCUUGAUGGCUGGCAGGAAGAGAUCAGGGCUCAGUACCAUCAAGAGCUUCAGGUCACCCUGCAGAGGCAGCGCCAAGCCCGCCGGGGCCCCGGCGAAGGCUCAGCUGACGGGCCUGGAUCUGACGGAGCCACAGGCUGGGCAGAUGAGAGAAGAAAACUGAGAGUCACAGCAGGAUGUGGGAGGCCCAGCCCCACCCGGAGUGGGAGACGCCUUCCAGAGAGCCGCGCUCAGAGACAGGCAGCAGAAGCGAGUCAGGAGGCUUCAGCGGAAAACCUCGGUGUGGAGGGCGGGCCAGCGGGAAAGGGGACAAGCACACUCAGCCAGGAAGACCCUGCGUGUGAAGAGCAGACCCAGGGACCUUUCCAGGGCCGGCGGUCAGUCCAGGGGCAGGACCGGGACAAAGCGUUCGGCAUCUGAAGCACCAAACCCACUGUCCGCAGCGAAGCAGGAGGCGGUGUCCAGGCGCUUUGCUGGUGGAGGAUACCUGCCAUGUCCCCGGGAGAGGACGCUGUGCCGCGCAGCAGUAACACAACUCCCAGCCCACUUUGCCUCAACACUCUGCAGAUGCCAAGCCGCUGCCCAUCAGACAGGUGGCGCUAGCGGGCUCAGGGCCAGCCUGUCUGUCUCAGCUCUGGCAGGACCCUUCCCGUGGUUGAGACCCUGGCGGCAGAAGCACCGCAGAAGCCCACGGUCCCCUCCAAGAGAAUGGAAGGCCAUGACUGGGGGCUCCUGA